UACAGGGGGGGCAAGCGUUGUUCGGAAUUACUGGGCGUAAAGGGCUCGUAGGUGGCCAACUAAGUCGGACGUGAAAUCCCUCAGCUUAACUGGGGAACUGCGUCCGAUACUGGAUGGCUUGAGUUUGGGAGAGGGAUGCGGAAUUCCAGGUGUAGCGGUGAAAUGCGUAGGUAUCCGGAGGAACACCGGUGGCGAAGGCGGCUUCCUGGACCGACACUGACGCUGAGGCGCGAAAGCUAGGGGAGCAAACGGG
rnacentral:rRNA from 1 species